CCUACGGGAGGCAGCAGUGGGGAAUAUUGCGCAAUGGGCGAAAGCCUGACGCAGCGACGCCGCGUGAGGGAUGAAGGUCUUCGGAUCGUAAACCUCUGUCUGCAGGGAAGAACGGUCACUGUGCUAAUCAGCAUUGAAUUUACGUUACCUGCAAAGGAAGCACCGGCUAACUCCGUGCCAGCAGCCGCGGUAAUACGUAGGGUGCGAGCGUUAAUUGGAAUUACUUGGCGUAAAGGGCUCGUAGACGGUAUGUCAAGUCAAGGGUGAAAUCCCCGCGCUCAACGUGGGAACUGCCUUUGAAACUGGCAAACUGGAGUGUAUGAGAGGAUAGUGGAA
rnacentral:rRNA from 1 species